rnacentral:rRNA from 1 species
GACGAACCGUGCGAACGUUAUUCGGAAUCACUGGGCUUAAAGCGCGUGUAGGCGGGUCGGCGCGUCGGCCGCUGAAAUCCCCCGGCUCAACCGGGGAAGGGGCGCCGAGACGGCCGGCCUGGAGGGACGUAGGGGGGGCUGGAACUUCCGGUGGAGCGGUGAAAUGCGUUGAGAUCGGAAGGAACGCCCGUGGCGAAAGGCGAAGCCCCUGGACGUCUACUGACGGCUGAGACGCGAAAGCCAGGGGGAGCGAACGGG